UGGCUCAGUUGGUAGAGCAUGGUGUUUGCAACGCCAGGGUUAUGGGUUUGAUUCCCAC
rnacentral:tRNA from 1 species